UCUAAUGGGACCAUGGAGUGGGCACAUGAGCUGGAGAUUCAUGCAAUAGACAUGCCUGCUGUUCCUUGCUGCCUUGUCAGCAUGUGGUGUUCUUGAUGCCCCAUGAGCAUAGCAUUCCAGGGAAACCAUGAUGCAUGGAAGUGUGACUCAAAAGGUCCCACAUUUUCAUUUUGAACAAGGAGCCCCACAGUUGUGAGAACAGCCUGACAGAGGGCAUGGAGACUGAGGAUAGGAGGCCCACUCAGAUCCCAGAGUUAUUCAGAGAGGAAGAAACCAAUGCUUUGAAAGGUUGAGCAACCUGUCCACAUCACUUGACCGGCAAGCAGCACAGCCAAUGACCGUGGACCCAUAGACCUCAGCCACCAACUUCUGUGCUGUCCUGCCUGCUAGGUGUAACAUACCUAAUUCUUUUGCCCCUGUCUCCUUGGAUGUCAGGCUCCUCCUGCCCUCCUUGGCCCCUCCCUGUUGGGUGUACAUCCUUCCAGACUGUUUUCCAUGCACUUCGGUGCCAGGAUGAUUAUCAAGAUGCCACUUUCUUUGCCAUCCUUGUAUCCUUCCUCCAGAUAUACAAGGUAGCCAAACCUUUAUGAAUGCAGCAGGGGUUUGCUAACAGCUUUUGGAGAUCAGGCCACACUCUACAUAUAACAAUCCACCAUGUAACUUAGCCAGGAAUUAUUUAUCAACCCCCCUUCUUUGAAGAGGAUGGGGGACACAGAGA